GCGUUGCCGGGCUGCCGGCUCGGCCCGCUGUCAAGUUUGUUGUUGUUUCCCCAGUCGGCCUUUAUUUCGAUUUGGAUGCAAAAAGUCGGCGUUGUGUCGGUCGAUGGGGUCGACCAGCGUGUUUUGCGUCGGCAGGCGAAUAAAUUCGAGGUUGCCUGAUGAUUUCUACACUUCGCGUAUGUCGGCGUCGGCACUUUCUGGCCAGUUCAAGAACUCCGAGAGGCAAAAAAUAUCACCCGAGAACCGAGAACAUAAUUAUUAUACAAGUGUGAUGCACUCCAACCCUUCCCCCCGAAGCAUGUGCUCUUGAUGGAUGUCGGUUGCGUCGGCGGAAAAAUACAGACGAAAGGUGCCACUGAAGUUUGACUCCUCGGCCAUAUCGUAGUAAAAAGUCUGAUGGACCCCAACCCACCCACCGAAGCAAACUAAGCUGAUGAGAUGCUCGAUGCAUAUCGGUCAUGUCGGCGGAAAGAUGGACGAAAAGUGCCGGUGUAGUUUGGCUGCUGUGCCCAACCGUAAAAAAAAAAAAGAAUAAUGUAGAAUAGUGAAGUCCAAUUUUUUUUAUAAAAAAAAAAUACUUUUUUUUUAUAAAAAAGAUACUUUUUGUUAAAAAAAAAAAAAAAAAAUACUAAAAUGUGAAAAAUAACUUUGGUGCCGCAGAAUAAAUUUCUAAAAAUGUCCAA